rnacentral:lncRNA from 1 species
GAGAGGGUGAUGGCGUGCCUGCCUACAAGACGGCUCCCAGAGGCAGCGGUGUGUGAGGGUCUCCCACUGCCUAGAGGGUGCCCCUGCUGAUCACAUUGCCCUGCUGCAAAUUUGACACGUGUGAGACACCCACACCAGCCAGCCUAAUUGGAACCAGCUUGAAGUGCGCUGCCCUUGAAUGCUUUGCAAAUUUCUGAUCCUCCAUGGACAUAGAACCUGGAGAAUGGGCCAAGGACAGGAGAAAUGAAGGACAGGUGAUUGCAGCCUCAUGUUAAGUGUAACCAUCUGCACAGUGAGCUCGGGGCAGGAGGCAUCGUGGAGACGGCGGCUGACUUAGCCUCUCGAGCUGACAAAGAUCGACUUCGGGAGAGGUGGUGAUGAAUCAUAAACGCUGCCCAGCAGGGGAGUCAGAAGAAUUGCAUUGUCCAAGGAGACCCAUAUGCCUGGAUCCAAUCGCAUUGAAAACAACGUUGAAAAGAUCAGGCUAGAAGAGUUUCCGUCUGACUUCAGGCAGCUUUUUAAUGGACAAGUCUACCAAGUGCGAGGCUGAUGGAGAGAAUUCCAAAAGGUCUUGCUCUAGGGCAGACAGAAUGCCACUGGGCAGAGAGUGCCAUUAAAAAGGUUCAGCAGCCACACGUGCCCAC